rnacentral:rRNA from 1 species
UACGGGGGGUGCAAGCGUUGUUCGGAAUCAUUGGGCGUAAAGCGCGCGCAGGCGGCUUGGUAAGUCAGAUGUGAAAUCCCUGGGCUUAACCCAGGAAGUGCAUUUGAUACUGCCUCGCUAGAGUACGGGAGAGGAAAGUGGAAUUCCUGGUGUAGAGGUGAAAUUCGUAGAUAUCAGGAGGAACACCGGUGGCGAAGGCGACUUUCUGGCCCGAUACUGACGCUCAGGCGCGAAAGCGUGGGGAGCAAACAGGAUUAGAAACCCCAGUAGUCC